GAAGAAGGCCUUCGGGUUGUAAAGCUCUGCGUUAGGGAAGAACAAGUACCGGAGUCAAUGCCGGUACCUUGACGGUACCUAACCAGAAAGCCACGGCUAACUACGUGCCAGCAGCGCGGUAAUACGUAGGUGGCAAGCGUUGUCCGGAAUUAUUGGGCGUAAAGCGCGCGCAGGCGGUCCUUUAAGUCUGAUGUGAAAGCCCCCGGCUCAACCGUGGAGGGUCAUUGGAAACUGGGGGACUUGAGUGCAGAAGAGGAGAGUGGAAUUCCACGUGUAGCGGUGAAAUGCGUAGAGAUGUGGAGGAACACCAGUGGCGAAGGCGACUCUCUGGUCUGUAACUGACGCUGAGGCGCGAAAGCGUGGGGAGCGAACAGGAUUAGAUACCCUGGUAGUCCACGCCGUAAACGAUGAG
rnacentral:rRNA from 1 species